GACGAACGCUGGCGGCGUGCUUAACACAUGCAAGUCGAGCGGAGCGGCGAACGGGUGAGUAACGCGUGAGUAACUGCCCCCCUCUCUGGGAUAACAGUUGGAAACGGCUGCUCAUACCGGAUAGUGGGGGAUGACUCGCGUCCUAUCAGCUUGUUGGUGGGGUAGUGGCCUACAAAGGCGCAGACGGGUAGCCGGCCUGGGAGGGCGACCGGCCACAUUGGGCUGAGAUACGGGCCGAAGGCCUACGGGAGGCAGGAGUGGAGAAUAUUGCGCAAUGGGGGAAACCCGGAUGCAGCAACGCGCGUGCGGGAUGACGGCCUUCGGGUUGUAAACCGCUUUCAGCCAUGACGCGGUAGUGGCAGAAGAAGCACCGGCUAACUCCGUGCCAGCAGCCGCGGUAAUUC
rnacentral:rRNA from 1 species